AGAUAAUAGAUACCCAGGUAGUCCACGCCGUAAACGAUGAGUGCUAAGUGUUAGAGGGUUUCCGCCCUUUAGUGCUGCAGCUAACGCAUUAAGCACUCCGCCUGGGGAGUACGGCCGCAAGGCUGAAACUCAAAGGAAUUGACGGGGGCCCGCACAAGCGGUGGAGCAUGUGGUUUAAUUCGAAGCAACGCGAAGAACCUUACCAGGUCUUGACAUCCUCUGACACUCCUAGAGAUAGGAUUUUCCCCUUCGGGGGACAGAGUGACAGGUGGUGCAUGGUUGUCGUCAGCUCGUGUCGUGAGAUGUUGGGUUAAGUCCCGCAACGAGCGCAACCCUUGAUCUUAGUUGCCAGCAUUCAGUUGGGCACUCUAAGGUGACUGCCGGUGACAAACCGGAGGAAGGUGGGGAUGACGUCAAAUCAUCAUGCCCCUUAUGACCUGGGCUACACACGUGCUACAAUGGAUGGUACAAAGGGCAGCGAAGCCGCGAGGUGGAGCCAAUCCCAUAAAACCAUUCUCAGUUCGGAUU
rnacentral:rRNA from 1 species